rnacentral:misc_RNA from 1 species
CCGAGUUUACAACUCCCAAACCCCAUGUGAACCUUACCUAAACGUUGCUUCGGCGGUCACGCCCCGGUGCCCCAGCGGUCCGGACCAAGGCGCCCGCCGGAGGACCCCCAAACCAUUGUGUUAUUUAGUGGCAUUGUCUGAGUGGCGUAAAGCAAAAUAAAUCA